rnacentral:tRNA from 1 species
GGGGCUGUGGCUCAAAGGCAGAGCGCUCACCUAGCACAUGUGAGGUACUGGGUUCAAUCCUCAGCACCACA